rnacentral:rRNA from 1 species
GAUGAACGCUGGCGGCGUGCCUAACACAUGCAAGUCGAGCGGGGUAUACGGAGCAGCUUGCUGCACUGUAGACCUAGCGGCGGACGGGUGAGUAACGCGUGGGUAACCUGCCUUACACAGGGGGAUAACACUGGGAAACCAGUGCUAAUACCGCAUAACAUCAUUUUAUGGCAUCAUGAAAUGAUCAAAGGAGAAAUCCGGUGUAAGAUGGGCCCGCGUCCGAUUAGCUAGUUGGUGAGGUAAUGGCUCACCAAGGCAGCGAUCGGUAGCCGGACUGAGAGGUUGGCCGGCCACAUUGGGACUGAGACACGGCCCAGACUCCUACGGGAGGCAGCAGUGGGGAAUAUUGCGCAAUGGGGGGAACCCUGACGCAGCGACGCCGCGUGAAGGAAGAAGGCCUUCGGGUUGUAAACUUCUUUGAUUGGGGAAGAAAAAUGACGGUACCCAAAGAACAAGCCACGGCUAACUACGUG